rnacentral:rRNA from 2 species
GGGGAGCAUGUGGUUUAAUUNGAAGCAACGCGAAGAACCUUACCAAGUCUNGACAUCCCUNNNACCGGUCCGUAACGGGACCUUUCNUUCGGGACAGAGGAGACAGGUGGUGCAUGGUUGUCGUCAGCUCGUGUCGUGAGAUGUUGGGUUAAGUCCCGCAACGAGCGCAACCCCUAUUUCCAGUACCCACCAGUAAAAUGGGCACUCUGGAAAAACUGCCGGGGAUAACCCGGAGGAAGGGGGGGAUGACGUCAAAUCAUCAUGCCCCUUAUGAUUUGGGCUACACACGUGCUACAAUGGCAGUUACAAAGAAAAGCGAAACCGUGAGGUGGAGCAAACCUCAAAAAGGCUGUCUCAGUUCGGAUUGUAGUCUGCAACUCGACUACUUGAAGCUGGAAUCGCUAGUAAUCGCAAAUCAAAAUGUCGCGGUGAAUACUUUCCCGGGAA